GAAAUAUAAAAAGAAGCUUCUAACUUCUAUAACAACAAUUAAUGUUGAUAUUUCU
rnacentral:tRNA from 1 species